rnacentral:rRNA from 1 species
AUUGAACGCUGGCGGCAGGCCUAACACAUGCAAGUCGAGCGGAUGAAGGGAGCUUGCUCCUGGAUUCAGCGGCGGACGGGUGAGUAAUGCCUAGGAAUCUGCCUGGUAGUGGGGGAUAACGUCCGGAAACGGGCGCUAAUACCGCAUACGUCCUGAGGGAGAAAGUGGGGGAUCUUCGGACCUCACGCUAUCAGAUGAGCCCAGGUCGGAUUAGCUAGUUGGUGGGGUAAAGGCCUACCAAGGCGACGAUCCGUAACUGGUCUGAGAGGAUGAUCAGUCACACUGGAACUGAGACACGGUCCAGACUCCUACGGGAGGCAGCAGUGGGGAAUAUUGGACAAUGGGCGAAAGCCUGAUCCAGCCAUGCCGCGUGUGUGAAGAAGGUCUUCGGAUUGUAAAGCACUUUAAGUAGGGAGGAAGGGCAGUAAGUUAAUACCUUGCUGUUUUGACGUUACCAACAGAAUAAGCACCGGCUAACUUCGUG